rnacentral:rRNA from 1 species
UGCGAGUCUUUGUAGCAUACAAGGCAGANGGCUCAGUAACACGUANNNNNNNNNNNAUGGACGGGGANAACCUCGGGAAACUGAGANUNNNNCCCGAUAGAUCAUUAUGCCUGGAAUGGUUUAUGGUCGAAAUGAUUUAUCGCCGUAGGAUGGGACUGCGGUCUAUCAGCUUGUUGGUGAGGUAAUGGCCCACCAAGGCUAUAACAGAUACGGGCUCUGAGAGGAGAAGCCCGGAGAUGGGUACUGAGACACGGACCCAGGCCCUAUGGGGCGCAGCAGGCGAGAAAACUUUGCAAUGUGCGAAAGCACGACAAGGUUAAUCCGAGUGUUUUCUGCUAAAGAAAUCUUUUGUUAGUCCUAAAAACACUGAUGAAUAAGGGGUGGGCAAGUUCUGGUGUCAGCCGCCGCGGUAAAACCAGCACCUCANGUGGUCAGGAGGAUUAUUGGGCCUAAAGCAUCCGUAGCCGGCCGUGUAAGUUUUCGGUUAAAUCUAUACGCUCAACGUAUAGGCUGCCGGGAAUACUGCAUAGCUAGGGAGUGGGAGAGGUAGACGGUACUCGGUAGGAAGGGGUAAAAUCCUUUGAUCUAUUGAUGACCACCUGUGGNGAAGGCGGUCUACUAGAACACGUCCGACGGNGAGGGAUGAAANCUGGGGGAGCAAANCGNANUANAUACCCNGGNAGUCCCAGCUGUAAA